ACUCCAUGGUACCAACACCAAUGUAACCUAUGGAUGCUGCAGCCGCAACAGCUGCGUCACCCAUGGCGUUCCUUAGUUCUGGUGUCAAUGCAGGGGAAGGUGCUUCCUCCAGCAACUUCUGGUUCCUUCUCUGAUUCCACGGUACCAACACCAAUGUAACCUAUGGAUGCUGCUGCCGCAACAGCUGCGUCACCCAUGGCGUUCCUUAGCUCUGGUGUUAAUGCAGGGGAAGGUGCUUCCUCCAGCAACUUCUGGUUCCUUCUCUGAAAAAAGAAGACAUUUCAAAGGUGCUCAGUUUGUAGAUGGACCCUUUUAUGCCACUUGACCGAACAAAAAUACUUAAGAAGAUAGCUUAACAUUGUAAUGAAUUCCCAAAAAUUAAAUAAGCUAUGAAAAAAGACAAGAGUGUCUGACCAUUCAACCAACAAUGUUUGACAACAAAAUGACACAUCGUCAAUGUAACAGAAUUUACAAUAUGGAAGAACUUUUCUGAUCAUGCAAAAUCACAAUUUAUAUCAAAGACAAA
rnacentral:lncRNA from 1 species